rnacentral:sRNA from 1 species
CUGAAACAUUUUAGAGUGAAGUCCGUUGUUUAUCCAUGAGCUGCAAACACCAGAGAUAGCUACAGUGUGAGUUUCCUCACACUGUCCUGUUAAUGACCUCAACUCUGACCUCUCGAGGGAAAAGGGGAAAUUUAGUCCAGAUCAUUUAUGGCCAUUU